rnacentral:rRNA from 1 species
GACGAACGCUGGCGGCGUGCUUAACACAUGCAAGUCGAACGGAAAGGCCCUGCUUUUGUGGGGUGCUCGAGUGGCGAACGGGUGAGUAACACGUGAGUAACCUGCCCUUGACUUUGGGAUAACUUCAGGAAACUGGGGCUAAUACCGGAUAGGAGCUCCUGCUGCAUGGUGGGGGUUGGAAAGUUUCGGCGGUUGGGGAUGGACUCGCGGCUUAUCAGCUUGUUGGUGGGGUAGUGGCUUACCAAGGCUUUGACGGGUAGCCGGCCUGAGAGGGUGACCGGCCACAUUGGGGCUGAGAGACGGCCCAGACUCCUACGGGAGGCAGCAGUGGGGAAUAUUGCACAAUGGGCGGAAGCCUGAUGCAGCAACGCCGCGUGCGGGAUGACGGCCUUCGGGUUGUAAACCGCUUUCGCCUGUGACGAAGCGUGAGUGACGGUAAUGGGUAAAGAAGCACCGGCUAACUACGUG